rnacentral:rRNA from 1 species
CAGUCGCCGCGGUAAUACGUAGGGUGCAAGCGUUAAUCGGAAUUACUGGGCGUAAAGCGUGCGCAGGCGGUUAUAUAAGACAGUCGUGAAAUCCCCGGGCUCAACCUGGGAACUGCGAUUGUGACUGUAUGGCUAGAGUGUGUCAGAGGGGGGUAGAAUUCCACGUGUAGCAGUGAAAUGCGUAGAUAUGUGGAGGAAUACCGAUGGCGAAGGCAGCCCCCUGGGAUAACACUGACGCUCAUGCACGAAAGCGUGGGGAGCAAACAGGAUUAGAUACCCCUGUAGUCCCUGUCUCUUAUAC